rnacentral:rRNA from 1 species
AUUGAACGCUGGCGGCAGGCCUAACACAUGCAAGUCGAGCGGUAACACAGGGAGCUUGCUCCUGGGUGACGAGCGGCGGACGGGUGAGUAAUGUCUGGGAAACUGCCUGAUGGAGGGGGAUAACUACUGGAAACGGUAGCUAAUACCGCAUAACGUCGCAAGACCAAAGAGGGGGACCUUCGGGCCUCUUGCCAUCAGAUGCGCCCAGAUGGGAUUAGCUAGUAGGUGGGGUAACGGCUCACCUAGGCGACGAUCCCUAGCUGGUCUGAGAGGAUGACCAGCCACACUGGAACUGAGACACGGUCCAGACUCCUACGGGAGGCAGCAGUGGGGAAUAUUGCACAAUGGGCGCAAGCCUGAUGCAGCCAUGCCGCGUGUAUGAAGAAGGCCUUCGGGUUGUAAAGUACUUUCAGCGGGGAGGAAGGCGAUAAGGUUAAUAACCUUGUCGAUUGACGUUACCCGCAGAAGAAGCACCGGCUAACUCCGUGCCAGCCGCCGCAGUAAUAC